rnacentral:miRNA from 1 species
GUCCGGCCGGUUACAGGAAACAGAAACUCCGCGCGGAACAGGAGUUUCUGUUUCUUGUAACCGGCCGGAC